GUUGAAACACCAGUCUGUAUACGAUCACCAAAGUUAAACAACGUAGAGCCUGGUCAGUACUUAGUUGGGUGACCGCUUGGGAAUACUUGGUGCUGUA